rnacentral:lncRNA from 1 species
CUAAUAGAAUACUAACUAAACUCUAAUUAGAUCAUAACAAUACAAAGCAAGCUUUAAUCAAAUUUAAAAAAAUAUCAAAGGAAUUACAAAGAAACAAUAAAAAAUCUUAAAAAAAUAUUAGAAUGAUUACAAAUAUAUCUCAAAUACAUCUCAAUUCAAUCUUAAUUUAAUUCUAGUUAAAAUCCUAUUGAACUUCAUUCAAAUUUUAGGUCAAAAACUAAAUAAAUCUUAAAUCCUAAAAAAACUCAAAUAAAACCUUUAACUCUAAAUCAAACCCUAAUCAAAUCCUAAAUCCUAAACCAAAUCAUAACCAAAUCCUAAUCUUAAAUUAAACCCUAAUUAAAUUCUAAAUCCUAAAUCAAAUCCUAACCAAAUCCUAAAUCAAAUCCUAACCAAAUCCUAAUCCUAAAUCAAACCCUAAUCAAAUCCUAAUCUUAAAUCAAAUCCUAAUCAAAUUCUAACUCUAAAUCAAAUCCUAACCAAAUCCUAAUCUUAAAUCAAAUCCUAACCAAAUUCUAAUCCUAAAUCAAAUCCUAAACCAAAUCCUAAAUCCUAAA